rnacentral:rRNA from 1 species
CCUACGUGUGGCUGCAGUCGAGAAUCAUUCUCAAUGGGCGAAACUCUGAUGCUGCGACGCCGCGUGGGGGACUGAAGUUCUUCGGAUUGUAACCCCCUGUCAUGUGGGAGAAAAUUCAAUCGAUUGUCCCACAAGAAGAUGCGACGGCUAACUCUGUGCGCGCAGCCGCGGUAAUACCGAGGUCUCACGCGUUGUUCGGAAUCACUGGGCGUAAAGCGUGCGUCUGCGGUUUCGUAAGGCGUGUGGGAAAGGCGCGGGUGUAACGCGCGGACUGCACAUGAUACUGGGAGACUAGAGUAAGGGAGGGGGAAGCGGAAUUCUCGGUGUAGCAGUGAAAUGCGUAGAUAUCGAGAGGAACACUCGUGGCGAAGGCGAGUUCCUGGACAUUAACUGACGCUGAGGCACGAAGGCCAGGGGAGCGAAAGGGAUUAGAUACCCUAGUAGUC